ACAACUAUGUUUAUCUGAGCGUCACUGAUGAGUCUUAUUUAGACGAAACGCGCGUCUGGCGUAUUAAAUUAUAAUCCUUGUAUCUUUGAUAACUAUUUGAUCAUUUGGUUGAUAUAAAAAAAAUCUUUCAGAAUCGGCGAAUGCUGUUUUCAUCUAACUUUUUUUUACUUUUUCUUCCAUCACAGUUUUUUCGCUUCGUACAAGCUCAGUGUGAUUGCCGAAUUUUUAAUAAGGGGUGUCAUCCAUGCGGAAAAAGUUAUCGACGAAUUAAAGCACUGAAAGAUAAUCAUUCAAACGCAAUACUUUUUGAUAAGUGACUUCCGUUUAGAAUUUUCCUUGGAGUUCUGUAUUUUUGUUAUUUUACUUUUAAUCUGAUGACUUUGAUAGAAAAGAGGAUUUUCUUUUAAAAGAACGUCUAUGUACACAUGUAUUUA
rnacentral:lncRNA from 1 species